AGAGCCCUGGGGUGUGCGUGAUCGUCUGUGUGUUUUUUGAGCCAACGAUCAAAAAACAGGGUGCCAGACCCACGGACUGGUGCGCAGACCCGCUCACAAGCGGGAAGCCUGAAGGUCUGCGGUAGGCGCCCACCAUGCUUGCAUGGUUCAAAAACUCGGGCGACACGGCUCUCUGGGGAUAUU
rnacentral:other from 1 species